ACGGGAAAUAAGGGACGAUCGGAUUCGGCGGAGGCGGCGUAGGAUAGUUUCCUGAAUACGGCGGAGGAUAGUAAUAACCUUGACCACCGCCACCGUAAGGUGGAGGGUAUUUGCUGCCUCCACCGGACUGAGAAGGAGGAGGGUAAUAGUAAGAGCUACCGCCACCGCUACUGCCGCCGGAUCUUGGAGGAGAAGGAGGGGGAGGACAUGCGGUUGUGGGUGUUGACGGUGGUGGAGGAGAAGGCGGCGGUGGAGAAGAUUGGACGGGACUACAUGGAUUGUCGCAUGAAGAACACAUUGUACAAGAAACAACCUCGUCUUUAGAUGUUACAGUCGGUAUCACUGUCGGUGUCACUGACAUUAGCAGUAUAACAACAAGUGUAGAAAAAGUGUAUAAAUGGUUUGUUUCCAUUGUCAGAAAUUGGAUUUAGAAACUUAGUUUUGUGUAAAAUAUACAGAGAAAGAAGAUGAGAGAGCGAGAG
rnacentral:lncRNA from 1 species